rnacentral:lncRNA from 1 species
AGAAGGGGCCCGGGGACUGGCCCGUGUCAUCGAUGGAGUCAUGGGUACUGGUAGUUUUACUGCAGCGCACCCACCCUGCCUGUCCCCCGUGUGUGCCUUCUCUUAGGGACGCCAUUGCAAGAAGAAGCACGCCUCCAAGAGACAAGAGGACAGAACAAGAUACAAUAAGGCAAAGUCUCCCAUAUGGAGGGUGGACAGGGCAACCCAAGAGGAGGAAAAGAGUCCCAAGAGCAGUCUUCUCUUCAGGAGCUUUGAUAGAGACUGGGGGUGCAUUCGCGGUCCCAGCCGGAGGCUGCUCUUUUGGGAUGUUUGGAGGAUGGGUCAACUUUCCAGUUGUAAAAGCAUUUGUUGACUUAUUUAGUAUGAGUUCACGUUCUUUUUUCUGCAAAAUAUAAGAAGGUAGAGACAUGUCACCUUUCAGCUCCUGGAUAAGGUCUCACAGUCUGUUUUCAAAGGAGACAAUGAGCAUGAGCUUGGUGCUGGGAGAGGACAGGCCUCUUGCAAGCCUAGAAUCCCACAGCAGAUAGGUGUGGGUGAGCACGAGUCCUUAUUGGUGUUAGUGUUUAGUAUUUCUCAGGAACCUACUGUAAACUGAAUUAAGAUCACUGUAACAAUCAUUUCUUGAUUUAAGUGAGCCCUUGGGAAUGAAUACUCUAUGCAGUUUGCUUUAAGAAACAUUCUAGAGAAUGACCUUUAGAGAAUAAUUAAAGGGAGAGUGGUCUGAAAUACUGACUACAGUAAGAAGUCCUUGGUGCAAGGUGUAUGUCAAAAAGGGCUCACAAGAAUCAGCUAUGCAGCUGCUUUCAACAGCUUUUAUUGUUGAGUAUCAUUUCUUUUCAGAGUGUAUAAUUAUGUCUUUUUGAUGGGCAUAUGUGUGGUCUCCAGUUCGGACUAUUCUGGAUCCAGCAAAUGUCUUGUGCAUGCUGUCUUGUGUUUUGGUUUGCUUCUUUGUUUUAAUUAUAUAUGGAAUUCCAGAACAGGUUAUAACUUAAUGUGUAAACAUCAGAACUGUGGUUACAUUUAGGGAGGUGAGGACAGGAACUGUUUAGAAAGAGAUAUAUAGAGUUUCCUAAUUACUAAUGAUGUGAUAAUUUUGGGGACACAGGAGUGUGUGCUUGCAGGAACUAAACAAAGAUAUGCCUGUUUGUGUACUUUAUGUUGGAUACAUUUUCCUCCAAGGGAAUUAAAUAAAUAAUAACUCACACU